rnacentral:rRNA from 1 species
ACCUGGUUGAUAGGUCGGAGGUGGAAGUGCAGUAAUGUAUGUAGCUUACCGAUACUAAUAGGUCGAGGACUUGACCAA